rnacentral:lncRNA from 1 species
ACAAUUACCCACUUUUUAAAAAGAUUUAUUUAUUUAUUUUAUGUAUAUGGGUACACUGUAUUUUGUGAGCUAUCAUGUGGUUGCUGGAAAUGAAGGUUGCUUGCACCGGUUGGCCCCGCUCAGUCCAGCCUAAAGAUUUAUUUAUUAUUAUAUCUAAUCACACUGUAGCUGACUUCGGAUGCACCAGAAGAGGGCGUCAGAUCUCAUUAUGGAUGGCUGUGAGCCACCAUGUGGUUGCUGGGAUUUGAACUCAGGACCUCUGGAAGAUCAGUCAGUGCUCUCAACCGCUGAGCCAUCUCUCCAGCUCCACAAUUACCCAUUUCUAUGUCAGUGUGGCCCUCUUUAGCCUGCCUGUCUUCAGGCCUCCUCUAACUCUGGCUACUUUGGCUACUUCUCUGAAAACAUUUCUUUCUAGCAAUCUCUUAUUUUAUUGCUGUUCUUUCUCAUAAUUUCUCUUUCUGAAAAUAUUUCUUCUCACAGCACCUGCAUUUCUGAUUUCUCCUCAGCCUUCAGAAUUAGCUUCAAUGUGACCCUCUACAUAAAGCACUCUAUAACCUGGAUAUAUUUUAUCUAUGCUAUGCACUCUUCCAUGUGACUUCAAUGAUUUGCAUUUAUUUAUUUUUCAUAUUCUUUUUAGCUACUUAAAUAUGUAUUUCUUAAGCCACGUGUGGUGGUAUAAGCUUAAAAUGUUAGUACUUGGAAGGCUAAGGCAUAAGGAUCAGCACUUUGAGGUAACCUAGUGUACAAGAUGAGGUCCAGGCUCACCUAAGCUGCAUAGUGAAACCCUGUGCAAACAAACAAACAAACAAACAAACAGUGAUGUACGUUUUCCUACCUUUUAACAAUUCUAGACCCAGGGUCUGUUUACUCGGUUUAAACUUACUUGCUACUGUUUCUACCUUAGUGCUAUAUAAACUUCCUCCUAUAAGUCAAUAAUAGCACCUUAGCUUCUGAGUUAGGGAAUUUUAUUUCUUCUUGUGGUUCUUAGGCCUAGGAUUGAUAUCUGUUUAUUUGCAAUUUCAAAUUAUUCAGAACUGUUUUUUAAUACAUAAGGCUCACUACAUAUUUACUGUUUCCAGUAUUGGGUUAGGAAUGUCUUUUGUGUUAUGAAGAUUAAAAUUAAAAAAAGGAUCAUUGGCUAGGGAUAUGACUCAACAGUAAGAGCACUCACUGUUCUAGAAUAAAUCUCCCAGAACUGAGCCUGGAUUCAGUACCAAGCACUCACCUGGGCUAGCUCAUAGCUCCUUGUUACUACAGUCUCCGGUUGUCUGAAGCUCUCAUCUGGCCUCUGGGUACCUAUGUGCAUAUGAUACAAGUAUACAGUCAGAGAAAACUCUUUUCAUCUCAGCACUAAGGGGAGGCAGAAGCAGGAGAAUCUUUGCGAAGCCUAACCCAGCAUCAUCUAUAUAGUAAACUCCAGACUAGCUAUCAGUGGAUAAUCAGUAAAACACUGUCUUAAAAACAAAAAGGACACAAUCUUAGAUUUUUUUUUUUUUUUUGGAGUUCUACAGUAAAUAUUUCAACUAGAGCUUUUUUACGUGAGGUCCCUUGUUUUGUGGGAUUGAUUUGCAGAUUAUAAGAUGAUCUUACUACUGUCCCCUAGUAAUUAUAUAUUAAUGUUCUCUUGUCACUGAAGAAAAAGGCCCACACUAUAUAGUUUCAAAUCUAUUUUACAACCAGCUUAAACCUCUACCAGGGACAAUUUUUUUUCUCUUCUUCUUGUUUCAUUAAUCAAGAGCAUGCUGUUCAGGCUUGAUUGACUACAAGCCCAACAGAAGGAGGCAUUUCUCAGUUGUAGUUCCUCUUUCCAGAUAAUUCUAGCUUGUGGCAAGUUGAUGCCACCCCCACCCCCCACCCCCAGCUACCUCCAAAACAAAAAGUUG